UAAAAUUUAUUGAGGCUUAUGUAAUAUUCACACAGUGCUAAGGCAUGGCAAAAAAGAGCUGAUUGUUGAAGAUUGAAAUCUUGGGGUUGUUUAGCAGUACUUAAUUGAAUAGGUACUAAUUUGUACUGUUCUAAGAUGGUGCAGCUUUUCUUGUGAUACCUUUUUAAUUAUUGGUGCAUGGGAGUAUUUUUGCGGUGCAAAUCAUGCUGAUCAAUUGGCCUGCAGUUUGAAAAGGACAUUUAGGAAAGGGAAGCUUUGCAAUUUGUGUAUCAAACAUUUGUAAAUUGCUUCAUCUGUGCAGCUGUAUUUUAAGGUAAGUACAGUGACACGGUAGGUGAAAACCCACUGGAAUUACUGUCAGUGUAACACUUCUCUGUUUUAUGGUGUAAUCAUUUUAUGAGGAUAUGAGUCACAGGUCAUGGACAGACACAUCUCAGAAGCUGAUUUUGCACUAUAUAUUUAUAGGUAAAAAAAUAUGUGAAACACAUGUUACAGAUACUGAAUUUCUCAUGCCCUCAAAACCAAGGAAAAUUAGUUAUUUGGUAAAAAUGUGCAAGAAAUGUAAGAACUUUCUGCUUAGCUAGGCAGGGGAACUGAAAAUUCUUACUGUCUGUACUUUCUGCUGCUGAUGAUAAUGUAACUAGAAUGAAGGUUUCUCAUUGUCCACUUUUAAAAUAAUUUCUAAUUCAUCAUAUUUAAUGAAAUAAUGAUAAUGUCAGGUUGGGUUUUUUUAAAAUUCAACUAAUGCAUAGAGCCAUAAUAUUAUAAAUAAAAAUCCUAAGUUUCUCCUGCAUACUUGAAACUAGUGGGAUGUUUGGUAAGUAAAUUUAAGACUUAACUUUUCUAAGCAUGAAAUUUAAAUGAAAAUUAAUUUGUAGAAUAUACAUAAAUUGGUUCAUUCUCAAGGCAUCAAUAUAGCAGGCCACUUAGCAUCAGCUGUAUAGGAAAAAGUGGUUGUAGUUUUACUGCUUCGUCUAAGCUGCUGUUUCCUGGUUUAUUAGUUUACGUCCCAAAUUACCAAAAGUUUUCAUCAGAAUUCUUUGGGUGAUUUCUUAUUUUAAUUUUGUAUAGAUAAGAAAAAAUUUACCACCCCAAGACCAAACCCUAAAAACCUGUGUGCUGGUUUUUGGUGGGAUAAAGUUAGUUGUCUUCAGAAUAGCUGGUCUGGGACUGUGUUUUAGAUUUGCCCUGGAAGCAGUAUUGAUAACACAGGGGUGUUUUUGUUACUGCUGAGCUGUGCUUACACAGCAUCAAGGCCUUUCUGCUCCUAACAGAACUGGGAGGGGACAAAGCUGGGGCAGCUGACCCCAGCUGACCAAAGGGAGAUCCCAGACUUUAAGGCAUCACAGCUGGUAUAUAAAGCUGGAGGAAGAAGGAGCGAGGGGGUUCAGAAUGGUGGUGGUUGUCUUAUGAAGUAACAGUUCAUGUGAUGGAGCCUGGCUUUCCUGGGAGAUGGCUGAGCACCUGCCUGCCUGUGGGAAGUGUGCAUAACAUUGGCAUUGGUGCACAUCAUGUUCUCUUCAAAGGACUGAAUGUGGCCAGAACUUGAAACUGGUUCUCUGAGCCUUCAUGGAGGAAAGGCUGGUGAAACUGCAGGGUUCUUUCUCUGUAUUGGUCAAGGCAGGUGAUUCCACCCACAAGGAGAGUGGUAGAGCCAGCAAAAGACCAUAGUGGAAAUACAAGGGCAUCAUCUGGAGCAAAGUAGGAAAGGGUGACAAAGACUGUUUCUUCAGCAGCAAAGUGCUAAGUUGAAUACUCAGCUGUCUAAUGGAAUUUCAUCUUUCAGGAAACCCAGUAAUGCUGGCAAGUUUUGUGGCUUUUUCCAGCUGCUUGAUCACCUGAUAAUAUAACCCAAUUUUCCAUUUGGUUUUGCGGAACUAGAUCUUCAUUUCAGUGCUAAAGGCAAGAUAUGUAACAAAAAGGCUGGUACCUUGGCUUUUUUUUUCUUAAUUCCAAAAUUAUAACUUCAGUUUUUACUUGUUUAAAAUUAGAAUCACAAGAAAUUCAAGAAUGUACUUGGACUUACCAGAUGGGGAAAGUGAAGUGUAUCCCAGUAAAUGCCAUCUUAGGCAAGCUGCUCUGCUGUAUUUUUUAUGUUGAAAACACAGUCCAGAGACUUUGGAGAUUAAUGACGGCAUACGUUUCUGAAAGACCAUGUACCUCAUUGCUAAAUGUCAUUCAGAAUUGGAUUUUAAAUUUAUCUCCACCUUGCCUGAUGAUUAGGAAACAUUACUGGUUGUCAAGCACUGGAACAGGCUGCCCAGGGAAAUGGUGGAGUCACCAUCCCUAGGGAUAUUUAAUAGACAUGUAAAUGUGGCACCUGGGGACAUGGUUUUGUGAUGGACUUGGCAGUGCUGAGUUAAUGGUUGGACUCAAUGAUCUGAGAGACUUUUUCCAACCUAAAUGACUCUGUGAUUCAUUACAUCAGUGACUGCAGGCACUGAUCAAGCAGAUAUCAGCUUAGAUGCAUGCUGGAGGUGAAGUCUGUACAGCUGCAAAUUAUUCACUUUUUUGGUUUUGCCAUUUUUCAGCAAAAUGUGACUAAUUGCUUUAGAUUAAUUAGUUAGUGUGUUCUACUUCAGUGAAACUUCAUUUGUUUCUCCCGUUGAAAGUGUUGUCUGAGCUCUGACUCUCAAUCAAGCUGGUCAGUGCUACUUUGAGCAGUAGGGUACAACCUUAAAGUCACAUGUAACAGAGUUAUGGCAAAAAGCUUUUAGUAUUGUCUGAACAGUAGGCUGAGAAAUUUAAGUGUGUUACAGAAGGGGAAUUCCUGUUUCAACGAAGAUACCAUUGUAUUUUUUCAGGUCUUUUUAUUACUAACCAGGUUUCUAAAUGCCUAAUAUGUAGCAAAAUUUAAAUACCAGCUGAAAUGGUAUUCCCUUUUGCAUGUGUUAUAUGCCUUUAAUAACAGCUCACUAGCAAAUGUCUCUGUAAAGAAGAGAAGUCUGUCUCCAUGCUGGUUCUUGUUUUUUUCGGUGGUUAUAUGCCAUAUGAUUUUACAGUAAGAGAAACUCUCAAAAGGCAUGUAGGUGGACUAAAAGAGGAGGAACAAACUUAAUUUUGUGAAAACAAGUAGACAAUUAACUUAAUUGAAUGCAAAAACUGUUAAUAUGAUACAGGGUUAUACCCCAAGUAAGAAAUUGUAGCUAUGCCAUCACAAUGCAUUAGAAUAUUUCCUUGGAGUAGUAUUUUCUUAGAAUCAAUUGAAAAACAAAAGUUACCUGGAACCAUGAAGUAUAAUACAUUUUAUUGUUGUACACAUAAUAGUUCAUCACUUUCCUUUUUGCUUUAAUCCUUUCUUUAGGAAAUUCAAAUCUUUAUAAAACUAAUUUCCUUGAACUGUUAUAAAACCUCCAUAUUUCCAAAGCAUAGAAAUUACAUAGUUGCAUUUAUGAUGAACUGUUGAAUGUCACUAUUCAUGGUCAUAUCCAGGUGUGCUAAAUAAUCAUCCUGGAUCAACAUUUGUAUUUAUUAUUUUGACAUGCAACAAUUUCAAUGCAGUAACAGCUGUUAGUUUGUCUGGAUCAUCCAGGGGAUUUUUUCCCAUUAUUUGGUGGAUGUGGUUUUUUUCUGUUUUGCAUUCUGAAGUGGAUCCCAUCCUGUGUGAUUUUUUUUUUCCUGAUUCAGAAUUAAUAGUAAGGAGACUAAAGACCUUUAAGACUUUAAGACUUUUUUUUCCUCAUUUCUGCAAUUCUGAUGCAACAUCCCAGCCUAAGAAAGUUUCUGUCAGCAUUGUCCUGAAAGUGUUGUCAGAUGUGUGAGGGGAUAGACGUCAGAAACAUGCUUGCACCAAUAUUAGGGGUGUUCAUUUCCAGCAGCAGCAGUGCAAAUUCACAUCUGGGAGAAGUGAUAUUAAAAGUUUAGCUACAAUAAUAUCAAGGCAGGAGAAGUUCAUUCCUUUCCUGUGCCAGUGCUGACAUGGAUAAUUUAGUUGUCAUUUCUGCAGUUGUUCUAGCAGCACGAGGACUUUUAGGUACAACAAUAAAUUCUUCUCAGAAUUGGUACACAGGUCUGAUGUUUUAUUUCCCACUACAUUAAAAACAGUUUAAACUCGACAUUAUUUUCUAUUUCACUGGUAAAGGGGUUUAUGAAUCUGAAAACUCCAGAGAAUUUCCUUGUCUAAAACCAGAUUCAAGUUAUGAAUUUUCUUCACCAAAGAAGAAAGUUAAUGUCAAGAUUUAAGAUAUAAUCUUGGAUUAGUAUAUGAUUUCUGCAUAUGUGGGCUAUAUGUAAGAAAGUAAUCUCUCCAGCUACUAUUGGAGGUACUUCACUUUAAUGUAAUUUAUUUCAAUAGACAAAUAAGAUCUAAUCUAUCCUAAAACUUUGGCAUCCUAGGUCUCUCUUUCUGGAGAGAUGGAAGGAAUGUUGCUGACUAUGGAGUGUAUUGUGAACAGAAUUCAACAUGGUGUGGACAUUGCCAUGUAGGCCAUAGGGCACUGUAUUGAAAAUACACAGAUCUGGAAAAGGAGAAGUCAAUUUUCAAUACUGGGCAAAAAGCACCAUUUGGACUUAAAUGCCAACAGUUGAAGAAAAUCCCAUUUCUUAGUAGGAUUUCUUAUGUGGAUGCUAUUAUAGGGAAAUAAAUUUCAUGUGCUUUCUGACAAGAUCACCAUGGAUAUCUGUAGUGUCCCUAGCAGCGAUAUCAAGGCACCAAGACUUUUGAAUCUUGCUGCAGUCAACACACUUCACUGCUAUGCUGAGAAGGCUGCUGCUGUCCUUUGCACUCAGAGAAUUAGGAGGCUUUGCUUUGUAGCAUUCAAAUUAAGGAAGAACUUAUAAAAGACUAACGGUGAAUAAAUUUAAGAAUGAAUAAAGGGUAAGAAUAGAUUCCUAUACGAUUCCCAUUAGUUCCCAGCCUGCCUCCUAGUGGUCAGCUUUCCCACUACACUGACAGUCACCCUUUUAUGGUUUGUUUUGUAUCAUUUCUCUCAAGACAUUUCAGAAUACAGCACUUUAAAAAGCAGAUAAUUUUACGUGCACAUUCCCAAAAAUCAACUAAUUUUACCCUAUAAUUAUAGCUGCUGCUUUGCCUUAGUGUGAAGUACCAUCCCAAAAAAAGGCUUUCAGAAAAGUGAAGAAUUACAGAAAAGGAAUAGGUCUUUUGUACAAAGAUUUAUCAAUCAAACUUAGCUCUGAAAACCUCAUCUCUCUGAAGAAUUGAAAAGAGAGAUGUUAGGUUCCUGGAUGGAAUCCUAGACUGGGGUUUUCUUACAAGUUUUCAUUUCAGGGUUAGCUGGCUGAUGGGCCAAGGUCAAGAUUUCAGAGAAGUUAGGGCCGCUUUCUGUUAAAUUUGAUGAGAAAUUCAGACAAAGUAAAUAAGAUGUUCUGAAAAGAGCUACCAAAUUAACUGUAAACAUGUCAUUUUUCCUACAGCAUCCUAAUUUUUCCACAUUAUAUUAUUUUUUUGUAAUAAAAUAUGAACUAUUUCUUCUAAAUAUGUAUGAUUCAACACUUUAUAUACUGAACAGUAAAUAUCAGAGUUGCUGUAGUCAUUGUAACUUUACAUUAUUUGGAUUUUGGUUAGUAUGCUUUGAAUUUGAGUAUUUGAUCUUAGUGGAUGACAUUGUCCUCUGCUUUGUACCUUUCAGCUCCACAUGGCGUUUACUGAAAUUUCAGAAUAGCACCAGCUAGAAAGGCAUCGAGAAACACAGUGUUUGGUCUAAUGAUGAUUUGCGAUACUUUUUGUAAAGCAAAGUUAUUGAGAUGGCAGCUGGGUUUACUUAAAUGGAUUUAAAUGUUCAGGAUGUUCCUGAAUUGUAUUGAUUAAGCAUUUGUUUAUUUAAUAGAAGGUGUUAUCUGUGAUAGUAUCAACUGAAAAAUGCAGAGAAGUCUGUGUUGAAUCAUCAUAGUAACAUAAAGUACCUGUUCUUCAGAUAGAGCAAUAAUUUAUUCAUGGUGAUCAAACUUAAUGGGGGCUUGGUUUUUUUAUUUGGGGUUUUACAUUUGAUCUUAUUUG